rnacentral:rRNA from 1 species
GAGUUUGAUCCUGGCUCAGGACGAACGCUGGCGGCGUGCCUCAUACAUGCAAGUCGAGCGGAUGCAGCAAUGCAUUAGCGGCGGACGGGUGAGUANNNCGUGGGCAACCUGGCCUUAAGAGGGGGAUAACGUUCCGAAAGGGACGCUAAUACCGCGUAAAUCAGCGAAAUCGCAUGAUUUUGUUGGAAAAGGAGAAAUCCGCUUAAGGAUGGGCCCGCGGCCUAUUAGCUAGUUGGUAGGGUAACGNNNNNCCAAGGCGACGAUAGGUAGCCGACCUGAGAGGGUGAACG